rnacentral:lncRNA from 1 species
UGCUCCAGGGGUGACGUCACCGCGUCGCACCUCAGUGUCAGCGGCAGCGCGGGAGGCGUCUGGAGGCGUCGGGACGCUGGCUGCAGGGGCCACGCGGGCUGCGCUGUGUCUUCGGCCUCACUUCACCUGGGGGAAAAGAGACUUCGAGCGCACCCGCAGCCUUCGGGCUGAAGAGCCGUCCAGAGUGGACCGACUGGGGUGCCCGCCUCCGCCUCAGGAACACGCAUUUCUACUGAGCCUGGAGUUUCAAGCAUAUGUCUCAGGGAGAAGAGACCCAUAUAAAGGCAAUUACAACUGGAAGCUCUCUGAGAGAAAGCAGACAUCUGCCACCACGCACUGAGCAUGGCGCUUAGCAGAGUGGCCCCUGGGGAUGACUGUAGCAGUGCAGGAGGACGGCUGGCUUCGUGGGCCUCUUCUGACUCUGCAGGCUCUGGAGAAAACACUCCGGAAGGGCUUCUGUGUGGUCCAAGGUAACUCUCACCCACAUCUCUCUCGUGCCAGGAUGUUGCUGUUAGUCUUUAAUC